GCGAGGUGCCGGUGCUGAUCGACCUCAAGCCGUCCGGCGCGCACUACAUGGAGCAUUUCCAUCACGCGGGUGGCGUGCCAAAGCUGAUGAAGCAGCUCGGCGAUCUGAUCGAUCUCGAUGCGAAGACCAUCGCAGGCGGAACGCUGCGUGAUGUCGUCGCCAAUGCCGAGGAAGUGCCGGGACAGGACGCUAUCCGCCCGCGCGACAAUCCGAUCAACCGUGAAGGCGCGAUGGCGGUGCUGCACGGCAAUCUGGCGCCGCGCGGCGCAGUCAUC
rnacentral:misc_RNA from 1 species